rnacentral:rRNA from 1 species
AUAUUGCAAAAUGGGCGAAAGCCCGAUGCAGCAACGCCGCGUGGGCGAUGAAGGCCUUCGGGUCGUAAAGCCCUUUUUGAGGGGAUGAGGAAGGACAGUACCCUCAGAAUAAGCCUCGGCUAACUACGUGCCAGCAGCCGCGGUAAAACGUAGGAGGCGAGCGUUAUCCGGAUUUACUGGGCGUAAAGCGCGUGCAGGCGGAUUGGAGAGUUGGAUGUGAAAGCUCCCGGCUUAACUGGGAGUGGUCGUUCAAUACUUCCAGUCUUGAGUGCAGUAGAGGGAAGUGGAAUUCCGGGUGUACUGGUGAAAUGCGUAGAUAUCCGGAGGAUCACCAGUGGCGAAAGCGGCUUCCUGGACUGUAACUGACGCUCAGGCGCGAAAGCUAGGGUAGCAAACG